rnacentral:rRNA from 1 species
CCUACGGGCGGCAGCAGUGAGGAAUAUUGGUCAAUGGACGAGAGUCUGAACCAGCCAAGUAGCGUGAAGGAUGACUGCCCUAUGGGUUGUAAACUUCUUUUAUAUGGGACUAAAAUGUUCCACGUGUGGGAUUUUGUAUGUACCAUAUGAUUAAGGCUCGGCUAACUCCGUGCCCGCAUCCGCGGUAAUACGGAGGAUCCUAGCGUUAUCCGGAUUUAUUGGGGUUAAAUGGAGCGUAGGUGGAUUGUUAAGUCAGUUGUGAAAGUUUGCGGCUCAACCGUAAAAUUGCAGGUGAAACUGGCAGUCUUGAGUACAGUAGAGGUGGGCGGAAUGCGUGGUGUAGCGGUGAAAUGCUGAGAUAUCACGAAGAACUCCGAUUGCGAAGGCAGUUCACUGGACUGCAACUGACACUGAGGCUCGAAAGUGUGGGUAUCAAACAGGAUUAGAUACCCUGGUAGUC